rnacentral:rRNA from 1 species
GAUGAACGCUGGCGGCGUGCCUAAUACAUGCAAGUCGAGCGAACAGAUAAGGAGCUUGCUCCUUUGACGUUAGCGGCGGACGGGUGAGUAACACGUGGGUAACCUAUCUAUAAGACUGGAAUAACUCCGGGAAACCGGGGCUAAUGCCGGAUAACAUGUUGAACCGCAUGGUUCUACAGUGAAAGGCGGCUUUGCUGUCACUUAUAGAUGGACCCGCGCCGUAUUAGCUAGUUGGUGAGGUAACGGCUCACCAAGGCAACGAUACGUAGCCGACCUGAGAGGGUGAUCGGCCACACAGGAGCUGAGACACGGUCCAGACUCCUACGGGAGGCAGCAGUAGGGAAUCUUCCGCAAUGGGCGAAAGCCUGACGGAGCAACGCCGCGUGAGUGAUGAAGGGCUUCGGAUCGUAAAACUCUGUUAUUAGGGAAGAACAAAUGCGUAAGUAACUGUGCGCGUCUUGACGGUACCUAAUCAGAAAGCCACGGCUAACUACGU